CAGCUAGAAUAGGAAAUGAUUUUAGUUUGACGGUACCAUACCAGAAAGGGACGGCUAAAUACGUGCCAGCAGCCGCGGUAAUACGUAUGUCCCGAGCGUUAUCCGGAUUUAUUGGGCGUAAAGCGAGCGCAGACGGUUUAUUAAGUCUGAUGUGAAAGCCCGGAGCUCAACUCCGGAAUGGCAUUGGAAACUGGUUAACUUGAGUGCAGUAGAGGUAAGUGGAACUCCAUGUGUAGCGGUGGAAUGCGUAGAUAUAUGGAAGAACACCAGUGGCGAAGGCGGCUUACUGGACUGCAACUGACGUUGAGGCUCGAAAGUGUGGGUAGCAAACAGGAUUAGAUACCCUGGUAGUCCACACCGUAAACGAUGAACACUAGGUGUUAGGAGGUUUCCGCCUCUUAGUGCCGAAGCUAACGCAUUAAGUGUUCCGCCUGGGGAGUACGACCGCAAGGUUGAAACUCAAAGGAAUUGACGGGGACCCGCACAAGCGGUGGAGCAUGUGGUUUAAUUCGAAGCAACGCGAAGAACCUUACCAGGUCUUGACAUCCUUUGAAGCUUUUAGAGAUAGAAGUGUUCUCUUCGGAGACAAAGUGACAGGUGGUGCAUGGUCGUCGUCAGCUCGUGUCGUGAGAUGUUGGGUUAAGUCCCGCAACGAGCGCAACCCUUAUUGUUAGUUGCCAGCAUUCAGAUGGGCACUCUAGCGAGACUGCCGGUGACAAACCGGAGGAAGGCGGGGACGACGUCAGAUCAUCAUGCCCCUUAUGACCUGGGCUACACACGUGCUACAAUGGCGUAUACAACGAGUUGCCAACCCGCGAGGGUGAGCUAAUCUCUUAAAGUACGUCUCAGUUCGGAUUGUAGUCUGCAACUCGACUACAUGAAGUCGGAAUCGCUAGUAAUCGCGGAUCAGCACGCCGCGGUGAAUACGUUCCCGGGUCUUGUACACACCGCCCGUCACACCAUGGGAGUUUGUAAUGCCCAAAGCCGGUGGCCUAACCUUUAGGAAGGAGCCGUCUAAGCAUGACAGUACGGCUC
rnacentral:rRNA from 1 species